rnacentral:rRNA from 1 species
GAUGAACGCUGGCGGUAUGCCUAACACAUGCAAGUCGUACGAGAGUUUUUAACUCUAGUGGCGGACGGGUGAGUAACACGUGAGAAUUUGCCUUUAGGAGGGGGACAACAAUCGGAAACGAAUGCUAAUACCCCAUAUGCUUUCGAGUGAAAUGGAUUUUAUCCGCCUAGAGAGAAGCUCGCGGCUGAUUAGCUUGUUGGUAAGGUAAGAGCUUACCAAGGCGACGAUCAGUAUCUGGUUUGAGAGGACGAUCAGACACACUGGAACUGAGACACGGUCCAGACUCCUACGGGAGGCAGCAGUGGGGAAUUUUCCGCAAUGGGCGAAAGCCUGACGGAGCAAUACCGCGUGAGGGAAGAAUGCCUAUGGGUUGUAAACCGUCUUUUUUCAGGGUAGGAAUAAAAUGACGUGUACCUGAAGAAUAAGCAUCGGCUAACUCCGUG